UCCCUGGCAGUCCAGUGAUUGAGAUUCUGCACUUUUAAUGCAGGGAACAUGGGUUCAAUUCCUGGUCAGGGAA
rnacentral:tRNA from 1 species